rnacentral:rRNA from 1 species
UACGGGGGGGGGCAAGCGUUGUUCGGAAUUACUGGGCGUAAAGGGCUCGUAGGCGGCCAACUAAGUCAAACGUGAAAUCCCUCGGCUUAACCGGGGAACUGCGUCUGAUACUGGAUGGCUUGAGUGUGGGAGAGGGAUGCGGAAUUCCAGGUGUAGCGGUGAAAUGCGUAGAUAUCUGGAGGAACACCGGUGGCGAAGGCGGCAUCCUGGACCAUUACUGACGCUGAGGAGCGAAAGCCAGGGGAGCAAACGGG